GCUUACGGCCAUACCACCCUGAGCAUGCCCGAUCUCGUCUGAUCUUGGAGGCUUACCAGGGUCGGGCCUGGUUAGUACUUGGAUGGGAGACCGCCUGGGAAUACCAGCUACUGUAAGCU
ensembl:rRNA 5S_rRNA 5S ribosomal RNA